GGCUGGUCCGAGUACAGUAGUGUUUACAACUAAUUGAUCACAACCAGUUACAGAUUUCUUGGUCCCUUCUCCACUCCCACUGCUUCACUUGACUAGCCUUAA
ensembl:misc_RNA Y_RNA Y RNA